UCCUUGGUGGUCAAGUGGCUAAGACUCUGAACUCCCAACACAGGGGGCCCAGGUUCGAUCCCUGGUCAGGGGA
rnacentral:tRNA from 1 species